AUUACAAUAUUUGAAUCCCUUUUGUAUACGUGCAUCUUACAAUUAUUACACAACAUUCUUGCAAUAUACGCGAUCAUGUAGCCUUAGUACCUUUUUAUUUUGUAAUUUACUGAUUAAGAGGAAACAUUUAUACGUUACCCUGUAAACGGUACAUAAUUUCUGAUGAAUUUUCUGGGCGAUAGAAAUCUUGUAUUAUCUAUAGCGUUUAAUUGCUCGGAUGAGAGUAUAGCGAGUGACAAAUUCUGGAAGAAUAAACUUUUGGGUUCUUGUGAGUUUUGCAAAGAAUAAUAAAAUAGAAGCGUUUUGAUAGAAGAAUAAGAUACGUAGAAUAGUAAAACACAAAUACUUUCGUCAUACUCUUAUCAUAUAAUUAUGACUUAUCAUAAUUGACUAUUAAUAUAUCAUUAAUAGUGAAUAAUUUAGUUUGUGGUUAUUACAUACAAAAGACACGUAAUAUGCAUAUAUAUAGGUAUGAGGAUACAUCAGGCAUAAACAAUACCACGUGUUAUUACUUACGUGUGUAGAUAUAUAUCAAUAUUUAUAUAUACACAUUGUUAAAUGUAAACAACAUAUAUCAGAUAAUAGCGAAAAAAGUUAUGUGAUGAC